rnacentral:rRNA from 1 species
UACGGGGGGGGCAAGCGUUGUUCGGAAUUACUGGGCGUAAAGGGCUCGUAGGCGGCCAACUAAGUCAUACGUGAAAUCCCCGGGCUCAACCUGGGAAUUGCAUUCGAUACUGGAUAGCUAGAGUUCGGCAGAGGGAAGUGGAAUUUCGGGUGUAGCGGUGAAAUGCGUAGAUAUCCGAAGGAACAUCAGUGGCGAAAGCGACUUCCUGGACCAGAACUGACGAUCAGGCACGAAAGCGUGGGGAGCAAACAGG